CUCCCCGGGUGACGAGCGGCGGACGGGUGAGUAAUGUCUGGGAAACUGCCUGAUGGAGGGGGAUAACUACUGGAAACGGUAGCUAAUACCGCAUAACGUCGCAAGACCAAAGAGGGGGACCUUCGGGCCUCUUGCCAUCAGAUGUGCCCAGAUGGGAUUAGCUAGUAGGUGGGGUAAUGGCUCACCUAGGCGACGAUCCCUAGCUGGUCUGAGAGGAUGACCAGCCACACUGGAACUGAGACACGGUCCAGACUCCUACGGGAGGCAGCAGUGGGGAAUAUUGCACAAUGGGCGCAAGCCUGAUGCAGCCAUGCCGCGUGUGUGAAGAAGGCCUUCGGGUUGUAAAGCACUUUCAGCGAGGAGGAAGGUGGUGAGCUUAAUACGCUCAUCAAUUGACGUUACUCGCAGAAGAAGCACCGGCUAACUCCGUGCCAGCAGCCGCGGUAAUACGGAGGGUGCAAGCGUUAAUCGGAAUUACUGGGCGUAAAGCGCACGCAGGCGGUUUGUUAAGUCAGAUGUGAAAUCCCCGGGCUCAACCUGGGAACUGCAUUUGAAACUGGCAAGCUAGAGUCUCGUAGAGGGGGGUAGAAUUCCAGGUGUAGCGGUGAAAUGCGUAGAGAUCUGGAGGAAUACCGGUGGCGAAGGCGGCCCCCUGGACGAAGACUGACGCUCAGGUGCGA
rnacentral:rRNA from 1 species